GACCUGAUAGUCUAGUGGUUAGACUGCCUCGACAAAUUGCCUUAUCAGAUGGUCGCAAGAGGUGCUCAGGUUCGACUCCUGGUCGGGUCA